UCGUCCCGUUCUCUAUUUUCAAGCUUCGAUUUUGAUUGAAAUUUAGUGGAUGUGUUUUGAUGACCACUUUCUAAUCGUUCAUUGAUUACUUCUUAUUUUUUGCGAUUGUUCAUUACAGAAAUGUUCCUUUUUUAAUUCAUUUAUUAUAUUUGAUUUUUAUUUUUCUAAUAUGAUCCUCCAACAUUUAGGUUUUAGGGUAUGGAUUGAUUUUUGCUUCUGAAUUGUGAUAUGAUCGCGGUGGAUUUUUUUGGGUCUUUUUUUUAAAUAUAUAUGAAGUUCAAUAAUUUGGACUGAAUUGAUUGUGUUGCUCUAUUUGAUACUCGUUCGCAUGAUUUAUGAGUAAUUUGAAAGCUUGUGUUCUUUCUUUGAAAUUCAUAUUUAUUUUUCCUCUUUUAGAGUUUAGAGGGUUCCAGAAAAUGCAAGAGGCAGAGGUGGAAGAGAUCUUUUCUUUAAUUUUGGUGGUGACCCCUUUGGGGGCUUUGGUGGUCCAAGAGAAUUCUGUCAUGAGAAAGCUGAAUUCAGAUGCAAGCUGGUCCUUAUGUAUGGAUCACAUAUCAGGAGGCUUAUGAUGCUGCACUCAGAACAGGUUCUGCCAUGAGGAACCAAAGUUAGCCAGUUUAAACACACUUAUUAUUAACAGAUGAAACAUUUGCGGUCACAUUUGUAGGGAGACCGAUGUGGUAUAUAUGGGUCCAAUUAUCCAGAUUAGAUCAUUGCUAUGGAGGCGUGUGGAAUUGCAAUUGAGACGAUAACCACUUAUUCAAGCCACUAUCACAACUUUACAAGUUUAUAUUGUAUAAUUUGUUUGUUAUCCUCUCUUCUAUAUGCUUGUAACAGUCAAGCUAUAACAUAUGUACCUCUAUAUGAUUCUCUUGGAAAUUCCAUUACUCCAUUUACUGUUCAAACUUCAUUAUUUAAUUCAUUUCGAGUUGAUAAUUUAUCUGGUUUUACGUUGCUGCAGGUGCUAAUGCAGUGGAGUCCAUCGUUAACCAUGCUGAAGUUUAAAUAGCCUUUGUUCAAGAGAACAAACUCCCUGCUAUCCUAUCAUGUGUUCCAGCAUGUUGUUCUUACUUAAAAACUAUUGUCAUCUUUGCAAAUGUUUCCAGCAAGCAGAAGAAGGAAGUCGAAGAGCUCGGUGUGUCGCUCAUUUCAUGGAAAGAACUCUCUGAGCUGGGUCAUUCUGUCAUGAAAAAGUUGAAUUCAGAUGGUAUGGUGGAUACAAUGCAAACCUUGCAUAAUUUGAAUGAAGGCAAGUUAGUGUUACAUGCAACAAAGUGUUGUUGUAUAUUUGUUGAUAGAAGUAGAUUAACUGGUCCAAUGGCAGUUUAAAAGUAAAUCUUCUGAAUUGGUGAAUUUUCCAAAUGAACUUAUUGGUUUUGAAGAAUCUUGGAAUGGAAAAACCCAAAAGUAUUUGCCUGGUUGGUCUAAGAAUUUUAUUGGCAAUGAUACCAUAGGUAAUAUAUGUCUUACUACAAUGUUUUUCCCUUGUAAUUUUGCAUCACGGAAUAAGGGGAAAAAAAGGCAAGACUAGUUCCCCCGUUUCUUCAUUUAGUUUUUUUUAUUAUCUCAGUUUUCACUUUACAAAUUUAUAGUUGGUGUAACGGCCUGAAUAAUGUUGAGGCAAUGCUUUUUUUCCCCAUCUUAUAACCUCAAAUCAUAUAUUUUCCUACAACUAUUGUCUCAGGGGCUAACAACAAUGGACAGAACAGGCAGGCAUGUAACAUCCCAAACUAUGGAUAUAGAACGUGA